UACGUAGGCAGCGAGCGUUGUUCGGAGUUACUGGGCGUAAAGGGUGUGUAGGCGGUUGUUUAAGUUUGGUGUGAAAUCUCCCGGCUCAACUGGGAGGGUGCGCCGAAUACUGAAUGACUAGAGUGCGGGAGAGGAAAGUGGAAUUCCUGGUGUAGCGGUGAAAUGCGUAGAUAUCGGGAGGAACACCGGUGGCGAAGGCGGCAUCCUGGACCGGCAUUGACGCUGAGGAGCGAAAGCCAGGGGAGCAAACGGG
rnacentral:rRNA from 1 species